rnacentral:rRNA from 1 species
UACAGAGGGUGCGAGCGUUGUCCGGAAUCACUGGGCGUAAAGGGCGCGUAGGCGGCGACUCAAGUUAGAUGUGAAAGUCCUGGGCUUAACCUGGGGACUGCAUUUGAUACUGGGUUGCUUGAAUUCGGGAGAGGAUAGCGGAAUUCCCAGUGUAGAGGUGAAAUUCGUAGAUAUCAGGAGGAACACCUGCGGUGUAGACGGCUUACUGGACCAUAACUGACGCUGAGGCACGAAAGCGUGGGUAGCAAACAGG